rnacentral:rRNA from 1 species
UAUGAAGGUGGCAAGCGUUACUCGGAAUUACUAGGCGUAAAGGGCAGGUAGGUGGUUCGGUAAGUCUGUUGUGUAAGCUCCCGGCUUAACUGGGAGAGGUCAACGGAAACUACCGGACUUGAGUAUAGGAGAGGUUACUGGAAUUCCCGGUGUAGCGGUGAAAUGCGCAGAGAUCGGGAGGAACACCAAUGGCGAAAGCAGGUAACUGGACUAUUACUGACACUCAGCUGCGAAAGCUAGGGGAGCAAACAGG